GCUUGCUGCUUAACAACAGAAAUAAAGCACUUGUCAGGCAGAAGCAAUUGUGUCAGUGCAAAAUGGAAUUCGCAAGACUAAAGUUUACACGAGUCAUGACUGGUUGGCCAGACCACGUUAUGGAAAGCUGCUCCUGCAGAAAAGUCAAAGACCCCCAUCCCCUGGUGUACUGUGCCAGUGGCAGGAUGCUGGAGUUCUGACUGUGACAGUGACUCGAAAAGGGCCUGGCCUGUUUACUGCUACUCAGACAGGAGCCCAGCUUCUUAGGACAGUUAGGACAGCAGUACAAAUAAAGGGAAACAUCUUGUUAGCAUCUGUCAGGACGAAUGCCAUUUUGCCUCAAGAAAAUGCUGAUCCUGGCAGAGUCUGGG